rnacentral:rRNA from 1 species
UACGUAGGGUGCGAGCGUUAAUCGGAAUUACUGGGCGUAAAGCGUGCGCAGGCGGUUUUGUAAGUCAGAUGUGAAAUCCCCGGGCUUAACCUGGGAAUGGCAUUUGGGACUGCAAGGCUUGAGUGCGGCAGAGGAGACUAGAAUUCCUGGUGUAGCAGUGAGAUGCGUAGAUAUCAGGAGGAAUACCGAUGGCGAAGGCAGGUCGCUGGGCUGACACUGACGCUCAUGCACGAAAGCGUGGGGAGCAAACAGG